AGCAGCCGCGGUAAUUCCAGCUCCAAUAGCGUAUAUUAAAGUUGUUGCAGUUAAAAAGCUCGUAGUUGAAUUUCAGGCCUGGCUGGACGGUCCGCCCUUCGGGUGAGCACUGUCUGUGGUCGGGUCCUACCUUCUGGCGAAGCGUCAUGGCCUUAACCGGCCGUGGCGGGGAACCAGGACUUUUACUGUGAAAAAAUUAGAGUGUUCAAAGCAGGCAAUCGCUUGGAUACAUUAGCAUGGAAUAAUGGAAUAGGACAAUGGUUCUAUUUGUUGGUUUCUAGGACCGUUGUAAUGAUUAAUAGGGAUAGUUGGGGGCAUUAGUAUUCAAUUGUCAGAGGUGAAAUUCUUGGAUUUAUUGAAGACUAACUACUGCGAAAGCAUUUGCCAAGGAUGUUUUCAUUAAUCAAGAACGAAAGUUAGGGGAUCGAAGACGAUCAGAUACCGUCGUAGUCUUAACCAUAAACUAUGCCGACUAGGAAUCGGGCGAUGUUGAAAAAAUGACGC
rnacentral:rRNA from 1 species